CCUACGGGCGACAGCAGUGGGGAAUAUUGCACAAUGGUGGGGACCCUGAUCCAGCGAAGCCGCGUGAGGGAGGAAGUAUUUCGGUAUGUAAAACUCUAUCAGCAGGGAAGAAGAUGACGGUACCUGACUAAGAAGCACCGUCUAACUACGUACCAGCAGCCGCGGUAAUACGUAGGGGGCCGGGGUUAUCCGGAGUUAAUGGGGGUAAAGGGAGCGUAUACGGCAUGGCAAGUGUGGAGUGAAAGCCCGGGGCCCAACCCCGGGCCUGCUUUGGAAACUGCCAUGCUAGAGUGCUGGAGAGGUAAGCGGAAUGCGUAGUGUAGCGGUGAAAUGCGUAGAUAUUAGGAAGAACACCAGUGGCGAAGGCAGCUUACUGG
rnacentral:rRNA from 1 species